AGUUUGAUCCUGGCUCAGGAUGAACGCUGGCGGCGUGCUUAACACAUGCAAGUCGAGCGAAGCAUUCUGCUUUAAAUCUUCGGAGGCGAAGCAGUCUGACUGAGCGGCGGACGGGUGAGUAACGCGUGGGCAACCUGCCUCAUACAGGGGGAUAACAGUUAGAAAUGACUGCUAAUACCGCAUAAGACCGCGGUACCGCAUGGUACAGCGGUAAAAACUCCGGUGGUAUGAGAUGGGCCCGCGUCUGAUUAGCUAGUUGGCGGGGUAACGGCCCACCAAGGCGACGAUCAGUAGCCGACCUGAGAGGGUGACCGGCCACAUUGGGACUGAGACACGGCCCAAACUCCUACGGGAGGCAGCAGUGGGGAAUAUUGCACAAUGGGGGAAACCCUGAUGCAGCGACGCCGCGUGAGCGAUGAAGUAUUUCGGUAUGUAAAGCUCUAUCAGCAGGGAAGAAAAUGACGGUACCUGACUAAGAAGCCCCGGCUAACUACGUG
rnacentral:rRNA from 1 species